AUACUACACACAAACACAAACACAGAAGGAUUCUUGGUAUUCCAAUUCAGUUGGUCCUCCAAGAAGACAAAGGAGGAGUGUCCGAAUUCAUCCAAGUGUAAGUAGAAUAACUAGGCCCAUAUCUAGCCCCUUUGAUAUUAUCAGCAGAUGCAAACGAUUCAAGUUCAAACAUCUCUUUAGGAGUCAAUUUCACAGUUAGAGCUUUGAUGUUGCUUUUUAGGUUGUGGAUCUUGGUGGUUCCGGGGAUUGGACAAACAUCAGGUCCUUGGUGGUGAAUCCAUGCCAACGCCAGUUGAGAAGGUGUGCACCCCUUUCGCUUCGCCAUUUCACUAACUCGUUGAAACAUAACCUCAUUCUGUUCAGAAUUCUCCUUUUCAAACCUUGGAGUCCCCUGCAUGUGGACGUCAUUCUGUUCAGAAUUCUCCUUUUCAAACCUUGGACUCCCCUGCAUGUGGACGUUACAAUUAAGAUGAGUGUAUGUAUGUAUGUAUGUAUGUAUGUAUGUAUGUAUGUAUACCUUGCGAUAAUCAUUCUCUGAUAAAACAUCAAUAAGCUUGACACCAAGAGCGAGAAAACCUCGUCCAAGAGGAGAAUAACAUACAAUGCCUAUCCCAAGCUCUCUGAAUUGAGAUCAUUACAAAUUAGGGAAACAUGUAGUUCUAACCAUCCAUAUGAUAUUGGUUCUGAAUAUAUAUACC
rnacentral:lncRNA from 1 species